GGACUACUGGGGUUUCUAAUCCUGUUUGCUCCCCACGCUUUCGCGUCUCAGCGUCAGUUCCGGACCAGUGAGCCGCCUUCGCCACUGGUGUUCUUGCGAAUAUCUACGAAUUUCACCUCUACACUCGCAAUUCCACUCACCUCUUCCGGACUCAAGACGAACAGUAUCAAAGGCAGUUCCAAGGUUGAGCCUUGGCAUUUCACCCCUGACUUAUUCGCCCGCCUACACGCGCUUUACGCCCAGUAAUUCCGAACAACGCUAGCCCCCUUCGUAUUACCGCGGCUGCUGGCAC
rnacentral:rRNA from 1 species